GAGUGGCGGACGGGUGAGGAAUACAUCGGAAUCUACCUUUUCGUGGGGGAUAACGUAGGGAAACUUACGCUAAUACCGCAUACGACCUUCGGGUGAAAGCAGGGGACCUUCGGGCCUUGCGCGGAUAGAUGAGCCGAUGUCGGAUUAGCUAGUUGGCGGGGUAAAGGCCCACCAAGGCGACGAUCCGUAGCUGGUCUGAGAGGAUGAUCAGCCACACUGGAACUGAGACACGGUCCAGACUCCUACGGGAGGCAGCAGUGGGGAAUAUUGGACAAUGGGCGCAAGCCUGAUCCAGCCAUACCGCGUGGGUGAAGAAGGCCUUCGGGUUGUAAAGCCCUUUUGUUGGGAAAGAAAAGCAGUCGGUUAAUACCCGGUUGUUCUGACGGUACCCAAAGAAUAAGCACCGGCUAACUUCGUGCCAGCAGCCGCGGUAAUACGAAGGGUGCAAGCGUUACUCGGAAUUACUGGGCGUAAAGCGUGCGUAGGUGGUUGUUUAAGUCUGUUGUGAAAGCCCUGGGCUCAACCUGGGAAUUGCAGUGGAUACUGGGCGACUAGAGUGUGGUAGAGGGUAGUGGAAUUCCCGGUGUAGCAGUGAAAUGCGUAGAGAUCGGGAGGAACAUCCAUGGCGAAGGCAGCUACCUGGACCAACACUGACACUGAGGCACGAAAGCGUGGGGAGCAAACAGGAUUAGAUACC
rnacentral:rRNA from 1 species